GAUGAACGCUAGCGGCAGGCUUAAUACAUGCAAGUCGAGGGGUAGCAAGAUUGUAGCAAUACAAUUGUUGACGACCGGCAAGCGGGUGCGGAACACGUACACAACCUUCCUACAAGUGGGGAAUAGCCCAGAGAAAUUUGGAUUAAUACCCCGUAACAUAGCGAUGUGGCAUCACAUUGCUAUUAUAGCUUCGGCGCCUGUUGAUGGGUGUGCGGCUGAUUAGAUAGUUGGCGGGGUAACGGCCCACCAAGUCUACGAUCAGUAGCUGAUGUGACAGCAUGAUCAGCCACACGGGCACUGAGACACGGGCCGGACUCCUACGGGAGGCAGCAGUAAGGAAUAUUGGACAAUGGACGCAAGUCUGAUCCAGCCAUGCCGCGUGAAGGAUUAAGGUCCUCUGGAUUGUAAACUUCUUUUAUAAGGGACGAAAAAAGGUCUUUCUAGAUCGUCUGACGGUACCUUAUGAAUAAGCACCGGCUAACUCCGUGCCAGCCGCCGCAGUAACAC
rnacentral:rRNA from 1 species